rnacentral:ncRNA from 1 species
AAAUGCACGAUGAAUGACCUAGUAGUUGUAUUCUUAACACAAGCGAGUGAUAUAUUUUCGGUGAAAGUAUCAUAGUUGAGAAUCUAACGAAUUUCAGUCAGGAGUGUUUGACUUAAUCGUCAACGUUUGGCCAUGUUACAGUCAUUAAAGCUGGUGCAAAUCAGAAAUUUGGGUGGUACCACGGUAGUUAACGUCCCAUGU